rnacentral:rRNA from 1 species
ACGGGAGGCAGCAGUGAGGAAUAUUGGUCAAUGGGCGGGAGCCUGAACCAGCCAAGUAGCGUGGAGGAUGACGGCCCUACGGGUUGUAAACUCCUUUUGCCGGGGGAUAAAAAACGGGACGUGUCCCGUCUUGCAGGUACCCGCGCGAAUAAGGACCGGCUAAUUCCGUGCCAGCAGCCGCGGUAAUACGGAAGGUCCGAGCGUUAUCCGGAUUUAUUGGGUUUAAAGGGAGCGUAGGCGGCCUUUUAAGUCAGCGGUCAAAUGUCAGCGCCCAACGCUGGCCUGCCGUUGAUACUGAUGGGCUUGAAUACACACAAGGAAGGUGGAAUUCGUCGUGUAGCGGUGAAAUGCUUAGAUAUGACGAAGAACUCCGAUUGCGAAGGCAGCCUUCUGGAGUGCGAUUGACGCUGAGGCUCGAAAGCGCGGGUAUCAAACAGGAUUAGAUACCCUGGUA